GACGAACGCUGGCGGCGUGCUUAACACAUGCAAGUCGAACGGAAAGGCCCCUUUGGGGGUACUCGAGUGGCGGACGGGUGAAUAACACGUGAGUAACCUGCCCUUGACUUCGGGAUAACUUCAGGUAACUGGGGCUAAUACCGGGUAGGAAUCCUUGCUGCAUGGUGGGGGUGGGAAAGCUUCGGCGGUUUUGGAUGGACUGGCGGCUUAUUAGCUUGUUGGUGGGGUAGUGGCUGACCAAGGCUUUGACGGGUAGCCGGCCUGAGAGGGCGACCGGCCACAUUGGGAGUGAGAGACGGCCCAGACUCACACGGGAGGCAGGCGGGGGGGAGAUUGCACCAUGGGCGGAAGCCUGAUGCAGCAAGGCCGCGUGCGGGAUGACGGACUUCGGGUUGGAAGCCGCCUUCAGCAGGGGCGAAGCUUGUGGUGACGGUACCUGCAGAAGAAGCACCGGCUAACUACGUG
rnacentral:rRNA from 1 species